rnacentral:lncRNA from 1 species
UGUAACAAGUCUUUAAGAUUCCGUGACAAACGAAGUAUAAUAUGUGUUUUUGCAGGCUUUUUUAUUUAGGGCAUGUUUGGUUGCCCAUAAGUGAAACAAUAAAAGUGAUAUUUUGGCGAAAUGAAAUUAUUUUGGUUGUUUGGAUUAUAAAAGUAAACAUGUAAGUGUUUUUUGAAAAGUGAACCCAUGAAGUGGAUUAUAACUAAAAUCCAUUUUUUUGACUUCGGCAAAAAAAAUUUCGAAGUCGUUGAAAGUGGGCCGCUUCAUUCACGCGACUUACGAACCGCAUACAAAAAUCUUCUUCCAUACCAUCUACAAAAAAUAAAAAAUAAUAAAAAAAAAACCGCGUGUCUUAACAAAAAAAAACCAACACAUUUUUUUUAAAAAAAUCAUUUUAUUUUUUUAUUUUCUUAUAUAGAACCAAAUAAUAUAUGUCAUAAAAACUGUAUUUUUUCUUUUACUUUUUUGAAACCAAACACUUGAACUCAAAAGUGGCUUCCAUAAAAUUCACUUUUUGAAAAGUGACUUUUUUUUCACUUCGAUCACUUACGGACAACCAAACAUGACCUUAAGAGAAGUACUAAAUAUACUUUUGUGUGAUAUUUGAUUAUAUUCUUUAUAUACUAUUUGAUAUAGGUGUCUGAAGUAAUGAAAGAUAUACAUCCAAAUAAGUCUAAUCUUUGAAUCUAGAUUAGGAUACCAGAUCCACCUUUUUAAAUUUGAAAAUUUUCAGACAUGGAUUGGGAUCUCACCUGCCUACUCAAAUUCAAACUCAGAACUUUGAGUAAGAAUUCUUUUUUUUUUUUUUAAGAGUUGGAUUUCAGAUUUGGAUCAAUAUUCUUAUUUGGUUUCGUAUUCAUAUAUUUAGAUUGUGAAUCCAAAAUUGGUUUUAUUCAGUAUGUAGCAUGUCUAUUUAGAUCAUGUUCAACAAUAUUUUCUUAGAAUUCUUAAUUUUCUUUUAUAUUUUUCUAGCCCUCUAUAAAUUUUAGGAAGCUUGAUAUCCGAUUAAUAUCCAAAUUAAUAUUUGGACCUCAUGUAAAAAUAUGGAUAUGAAUAUAAAUCGGGCAGUACCAGAUCCAAAGCAUUUAAGACGUAGGCGUUUAAGAUAUCUCCAUUUGUUUUGUAUGAUUCAAAGCAUUUAAGAUGUAUGCUUUUAGAUUUUGAGCAAUGCUUUCUCUCUCAGCUUUAUUUUUUAUUUUAUACUCUUUAUUUUUUUGACAUAGAGAAAGAUAGCACGUUACCCACGAGAUCCGGGCAGCGUUGACCAUCCCCAAGCAAUUGACACGAGGAUAACAACAACGACACUCCAAUAGGAUACACUACUCUGCUAUGUCAUGUAGGGUCUAUAGCUAGUUGAGAAUUAUACUUAGUAAUCAUGCCGUGGAGGAUAGAGCGGGAGCUGGCUAACCCAAUUGCCAGCCUCUCAUGAACAAAGCCGGGAUUGGCUACUCGGUGGCCAUUCUCGGAGGGUCAGGACUGGCUACCCGAUUGUCAUUCUCAUAUGGACAGAGAUGGGAAUAGCUUAUAUACUCCUGAAAAAUUUUCGACUUUCUGAUUUAUCUUUUUUAGAAGAUUAAUAUUAAAAAUAACUUUUUUACGUUCCAACCUAUUUUAAAUAUAUCCCUAGGGUUAAAAUUUGUUAAUGAAUUAUGUUAUCUUUAUAAAAUUACUAUUUUGUCCUUUCAAAUAUACCCUUCUACCGUUCUACCAUCAUCGACUUUUUUUAUUUGCCCUUCAGUUAGGGGCACAAAAAGUAUCUUAUUUGUUAGUCUUUUCAAAUAUAUCUUUCUACUAUUACCAAUAUUUCUUAAGUUAAGGGCAAAAAUAAUAUUUUAAUUUUUUUUAACUAUGCUACAUAUUUAACUCACGUUUAAUCCAAAUUAACUUAACAGAUGGUAACUGUAGGGAUAUUUUGAAUUAACGGAGAACAUAUGAGGGGUAUAUUAAAAAGAAAAAAAAAAGUCGGAAUAAAUGAGUUAUUUUCAAAGUUUUGAAGGGUGUAUAAGACAAUUAUCCCUAUAUAUUUAUAUACAUAGUUGGACUAGAAUGCUACAGUAAGGAGAAUUAUUGAUUUUUGAUUUAAUGGCUAAAGUUUGGAUCCAAAGUCUAAAAACUCACAAGCACUAAUAUUUCUGCCCUAUCGAUAGAGAGAGAAACAAUAUAAAUUCUAAUAACUCUAGUUUGGAUAAUUUGUAUGNACAAUUUUUUUUUGAAUAUCUUUAUUGGUUUUUGGUCCCGUAAACACGCAUCCAAACAUCCAUUUGUGAAUAUAAAUAUUUUUUUUUCUGACAUCCUAGGAAUUCAAAAUAAAAAAAACAUUAGUGGAAGGCAAAUAAAAAAUGCCCUACUAUCAAUUUAAUAAUCAUUAUAUGUAAAAUUGUUACACUUUUAUUUUGUAUUAUAUCUUUUAUUAUAUUACCAAUUCUAUUUGUAUUAUUACACAUGAUUUUAUUAUAUCAUCAAAUCAUGUGUUUGAUAAUGCUACAACCUUUGAAGUCGAUGGGGCCCACAAAGCAGUGAGUUAAUUUGCGUACGAUGCGAACUCACGACUUCACGAUCGUCACGCAUGAAGCCUAUUUGAGCUUGUAUUAACAAACACGUUCAAAAUUUUAUAUACAUUAAGGAAUACAUAGCUAUUAUCAAACACAUGAACAAACACGUUCAAAAUUUUAUAUACAUUAAGGAAAUACAUAGCUAUUAUCAAACACAUGAUUUGCACAUUAGCCGUUCACAUUUAUCACAACAAAAACUAAAAGAUAACUAUAGUUGAUAUGAAAAAAUUAAGCACAAUAAAUAUCACCAGUAAACGUUAUCCUAAUGAUGCUCAACACUCAAUUUUUUUUAGUAAUUUUUGUUCUUGACAAGCGAACUUGAAUCUUCUUGUGGUUUUCGAGACAAAAUGAGACUCAAAGACCACAUAAGUUUCUCAGAAAUUACUUAAUAAUGUGUCAAGAAAUUAGCCAACUAAUUAAUAAAUCUAAGUUGCAUAAUUUGGGGCCUAAAUUUAAAUCUUAGAAUUUAGGCUCAUACACUAAUAACUCAAGAUAAUUACGAGGAACAAAAAGAAAAAUACUAAAUUCUAAUAACUCUAAGAUGCAUAACUGGCUUUAAUUGGGACGUGUUGGGAACCGGAUGGAUCGUCCGUCAUGUGCUACCAACAAAGAUGCACGAAAAAUAGAGAAAAUCGACCGAACGGUAAAAGAAAUAAAUGCAGAAAGAAGAAACCAAGAUUUACGUGGUUCGGCAAUUGCCUACGUCCACGGGGAGAGCGAGAGAGAUGUAUUCCACUAUAUGAAGAAAUAAAAGUACAAGCUUACACCUUAUGUCUUCUCCGGAUAAAAAAAACCAAGAACCUUAUGGUGAAUCCCACCUUUCUUGUUCCAACGAAAACUCCAAGAAAAAUACCGAAAAAGCUUUUCGUAAAACCGAGAAGACCAAAUUAGAGAAGUAUAGAAACUCUAACCAAAUUCCUUUAUGCCGUUGCUUCGAAGAAUCCGAACCGCUCAGGCNUUUGGCUCGAUUACAAACAGAAAAGAAAAAAAAAAGAAAAAUUAAUUACCAUUUUUUCUUCUCUCUUCACUCAAUCCACUGAAAUUCUAGACGAAGAGCCUUUCCUGUCGUCCUCCUCCGCUACCGCAGCCAACGAGAUAGAGUUUCGGCGGUUGCUAAAUACUUAAAUAAGUGUUGGUAAAUUAGCAGCACUCUUUUAGGUUAUAGCGACACUCUUUAACUGUCACUAUAUACCUAGCGACCUCACAUAUAACAACACUUUUUAAAAGUGUCGGUAAUUUUAGCUAGCAGCACUUUUUUGACUUAUACCUACAUUUAAUAGUGUCGCUAUAGACCAUUUUUGUUGUAGUGGAUGUCCCACUUCUCAAGGGGUCAUCCAUUCUAAAACUAUUUUAGUUUUAGCACGCUUAACUAUUUUAACCUCUUGGGCCUAACCAUCGCUCAAAAUAUUAUAACCGGAUUUAAGAGUUUUAGCUUUAUUAUAUUUUCUAUAUAAGACUAUCUGGAAUCUCACAUAUAUGUAGAUUAAUCCAAAUAUAAAGAGACAUAUACUUUAUGAAUUUCAAUUAAUAGAUUAAACUUCUGAUUUUUAAUUUUUUAUUUUUUUUACAUAGUAGUGGGAUUGAUGAUCUAAUUGUUGCCUGUGAACUAUUUUGUAUUUGGCUCAUUAAUAAACAAACCAAACACGGAAUUAGUUUUUAGCUUAAUUUUUUAAUGAGUCACCUUAUAUUCAACUUGUUUAAUAAACAAACGAAUACGAGUUGGCCCGAACUGCUCAUGUUCGACUCAUUGACAGCCCUAACCUUGACAACGUUGCUAUAGUACUCCUAGCGCUACUAUUUGGUAGGCACUAAUACAUACACUUAACUACGCUUGUGACCCAAUGCGAAAUGCAUUAUUUCGAUCCUAGUUGUUUUAGACUCUUUUCAUGAAUAAAGUAGUUUUCUAUUGUUUUUUGCGUGAACCAAAGCAUACAAAAUAAAUGCUUCAAAAUUUUGCGAAAAUAUCAAAAUAUACAUAAGCAUCCCUUUAUAGCUGUGCUUAUGAUAGAACAUUUCAUUAUUUGCUUUUGUUGCAAAGAAGAAUGGGUUCUUUUUCAGAUAAGAAUAUGCAUGCCCAGUGAGUCAUUGGGGGAAAACAAAUUAGAAAUGAAUAAUCACUAUAGCGAGCAUUAUGUACAGCUUAAUUUAAUUAAGAUAAUUCCAUAGAAUAAAAUAUGAGUUACGUAGGGUUGGCAUGACUAACAUUUUUCUAGAUCAAAUUGGGUUAGCUGCGGCUCACUUCAUUUCGGAGAAAAUUGGUCGAUAGCGUGGGUCGGACCAACAAUGGCUUGGAUCCUUAUCAUGCGUGGUCGGGCCACCUUUUUCUGGAACGUGGCCUGACACAGCUCGAACAAGAUUGGGCGAUACCGGGCAGUGUUGGGCAUCGUCUUGUCCAUUUUUUCUAUAUUUCUACUUUUAUAUAUUUUUUAUUUUUUAUUUUUUAAAGUUUUACUAUUAAGUUUGUGAAUUAUAUAUAGUUAUUUCUCUAUAGUUACUUAAUUAUUAAGUAAAUAAGUUGAAAAUAAAUUUUUAAGCAAAUUAUUUGAAAGUUGAAAAGUUAAAAUUAGUAUUUAAAAGUAAAAAUAAAAAAUAAUAGAAAAGUUAGGAAAAAUAGGAAAAUAAAUAAAUAAAAGGACGAUGCUGGCUAGGUAAAAAUACAGUGUCGUAGCGAUGGCGCUCGACCCUAUGACAUGAAUUAGAAUGCAGGCCUUUGCUUGCGCCUUCUGGGCUUAACAUAGCAUAACACGGAGUCGUAGAUUGCAUCCAAUUCUUGUUCAUCUUACAUUUGAAUAGAUAAAAUUAAUAUGCUUCAAAUUAAAUUUAAAGUCGUGCUCUUAAAAAUAUGAAAUAUUCAAAUUACAAAUUCACACACAUUUUCUUAAUUUCAAAAUUAGUGUGUAAAAUUGGUAAUGAUAUAAAGAGAAGAAUACUAUUAUGAGAAAAAUAGCUGUUCAAAGAAACUCUUAAUUUACCAAAUGUUUAAUAAUUUUAAGUUAGAUAAUCUAAAAUAAUUUGGAAAAAAAGGAGCAUCUCAUCCUUCCACAUUGUACUUCCUCUAAACUUUUGUAACAAGUCUUUAAGAUUCCGUGACAAACGAAGUAUAAUAUGUUUUUUUGUAAGCUUUUUUAUUUAGGGUAUGUUUGGUUGCCCAUAAGUGAAACAAUAAAAGUAAUAUUUUGGCGAAAUGGAAUUAUUUCGGUUGUUUGGAUUAUAAAAAUAAACAUAUAAGUAUCUUUUGAAAAGUGAACCCAUAAAGUGGAUUAUAACUAAAAUCCACUUUUUUGACUUCGGCAAAAAAAAUUUCGAAGUCGUUGAAAGUGGGCCGUCUCAUUCACGCAACUUAUGAACCGCAUACAAAAACCUUCUUUCAUACCAUCUACCAAAAAAAAAAAAAAAAAAAAAAAAAAAAAAAAACCGCGUGUCUUAACAAAAAAAAACCAACACAUUUUUUUAAAAAAAAUCAUUUUUUUUUUAUUUUCUUAUAUAGAACCAAACAAUAUAUGUCAUAAAAAUUGUAUUUUUUCUUUUACUUUUUUGAAACCAAACACUUGAACUCAAAAGUGGCUUCCAUAAAAUUCACUUUUUGAAAAAGUGACUUUUUUCACUUCGAUCACUUACGGACAACCAAACAUGACCUUAAGAGAAGUACUAAAUAUACUUUUGUGUGAUAUUAGAUUAUAUUCUUUAUAUACUAUUUGAUAUAAGUGUGUGAAGUAAUGA